rnacentral:tRNA from 1 species
GGGCAGUUAGUUCAGCUGGUUGAGAGCAUGGUGCUACUAACGUCAAGAUCAUGGGUUCGAUCCCUUUUGGGCCA